UACGGGGGGGGCAAGCGUUGUUCGGAAUUACUGGGCGUAAAGGGCUCGUAGGCGGCCAACUAAGUCAGACGUGAAAUCCCUCGGCUUAACCGGGGAACUGCGUCUGAUACUGGAUGGCUUGAGUGUGGGAGAGGGAUGCGGAAUUCCAGGUGUAGCGGUGAAAUGCGUAGAUAUCUGGAGGAAUACCGGUGGCGAAGGCGGCAUCCUGGACCGACAUUGACGCUGAACGGCGAAAGCUAGGGGAGCAAACGGG
rnacentral:rRNA from 1 species